rnacentral:tRNA from 1 species
GCCCAAGUAGCUCAGUUGGUAGAGCAUCAGCCUUGUAAUCUGAAGGUCACCGGUUCGAUUCCGGUCUUGGGCU